UGCUGGUGGUAGAUCAUGCAUAAUAAAAAUUUACACACAUUACUAUUGAUCAGACUGCCAAGAACGUAAACACACUUCAUAUUGAACAAAGAGAACAUAUGUGUCGCUACUUAAAGUCAAAACAACUACAGAAGUCACAAACUAUAUGAGUGAAGGUCACAGUAAAACUGUACAACAUUGGAAUAUGAACAGUGGGACCCAGGGUUUGGAUGCUUGAGGACACCUUUUCCAAAACCUACCUUAAAGCAGUGGCAAGUAUGGUAGUUUCCCCAGCAA